AGGGGCGUAAGUUAAUGGCAGACUGGCGGUCUCCAAAACCGCUCACGGGAGUUCGAAUCUCUCCGCCCCUG
rnacentral:tRNA from 1 species